rnacentral:tRNA from 3 species
GGAAGCCUUAGCUUAAUUAAAGUGUCUGAUUUGCAUUCAGGAGAUGUAGAGAGGUUCUAUAGGUUUUA